rnacentral:sRNA from 2 species
CUCGUUCCUCGUUUUGCAGCGGCAUCCUUUUUUUUGCGAUGGCUUGAAAAAAGCGAAGGCGAAAAAAGAUACAGCGGAAAGCGGGAAAUAGC